rnacentral:lncRNA from 1 species
UGUGCACAUUUCAAGCUACCCAAGAUAGCACGCGGCGGCGUCCAGAGACAAGAGGCCAUGAAUACGCUGAUCAAGGACCACACUGCAGCACGCUUCAGACCAUCUGGUCGCAGCUGCCUGAGCACCCAAUUUGGACUGACAGACCGGAUGUAGCCCUAAGACAGGAAAGGGCGAGGAGGCCUGCUGGCCAUAUGGACAGCGACUCUUCGGACGAUGCCUCAAGAGAAAGAGUGUGUCCCGGGCUGAAGAGAGCCGCGUCUACCACAACCUGGAUGCAGGGAACUUCUCCGAAGGGGUG